rnacentral:rRNA from 1 species
GUGCCAGCAGCCGCGGUAAUACGUAGGGUGCGAGCGUUGUCCGGAAUUAUUGGGCGUAAAGAGCUCGUAGGCGGUUUGUUGCGUCGGCCGUGAAAACUAGAGGCUCAACUUCUAGCUUGCGGUCGAUACGGGCAGACUUGAGUUCGGUAGGGGAGACUGGAAUUCCUGGUGUAGCGGUGAAAUGCGCAGAUAUCAGGAGGAACACCGGUGGCGAAGGCGGGUCUCUGGGCCGAAACUGACGCUGAGGAGCGAAAGCGUGGGGAGCGAACAGGAUUAGAUACCCUCGUAGUCC